rnacentral:snRNA from 1 species
AGGCUGAUCUAGCUGCGGCAUCUGUCACCCCAUUGAUCACCAGGGUUGAUUCAGCUGAUCUGGCUGGCUCACCACCCUAUGUGCAUCCCUCCUGAAGCUGCACACUUGGUCCAAGAGGACGACCUUUCCCGAAUAGAGGAGGAUUUCAGUCAAGGGUAUGCAAGUAGCUGUGCUCUUCUGCUAGAACCUCUAGCUCUCAAAAUAAAUGUGUCUAUUUUAUAUAAUGUAGAAAAUGCUGCUAAAUACAGAAAGAAAAAAAAAAGAAUUAUUU